AACCUCCGCAAUGUGAGAAAUCGCGACGGGGGGAUCCCAAGUGCCAUUCUUAACGGGAUGGCUUUUCAUUAGUGUAAAGAGCUUUUGGAAUAAGAGCUGGGCAAGACCGGUGCCAGCCGCCGCGGUAGCACCGGCAGCUCUAGUGGUAGCAACUUUUAUUGGGCCUAAAGCGUCCGUAGCCGGUUUAAUAAGUCUCUGGUGAAAUCCUGUAGCUUAACUGUGGGAAUUGCUGGAGAUACUAUUAGACUUGAGACCGGGAGAGGUUAGAGGUACUCCCAGGGUAGAGGUGAAAUUCUGUAAUCCGUGGGGGACCGCCUGUUGCGAAGGCGUCUAACUGGAACGGUUCUGACGGUGAGGGACGAAAGUUAGGGGCGCGAACCGGAUUAGAUACCCGGGUAGUCCUAACUGUAAACGAUGCGGACUUGGUGUUGGGGUGGCUUUGAGCUGUCCCAGUGCCGAAGGGAAGCUGUUAAGUCCGCCGCCUGGGAAGUACGGUCGCAAGACUGAAACUUAAAGGAAUU
rnacentral:rRNA from 1 species